CAGUCGCCGCGGUAAUACGUAGGUCCCGAGCGUUGUCCGGAUUUAUUGGGCGUAAAGCGAGCGCAGGCGGUUAGAUAAGUCUGAUGUGAAAGCCCCCGGCUCAACCGGGGAGGGUCAUUGGAAACUGGGAAACUUGAGUGCAGAAGAGGAGAGUGGAAUUCCACGCGUAGCGGUGAAAUGCGUAGAGAUGUGGAGGAACACCAGUGGCGAAGGCGACUCUCUGGUCUGUAACUGACGCUGAGGAGCGAAAGCGUGGGGAGCGAACAGGAUUAGAUACCCCAGUAGUCCCUGUCUCUUAUAC
rnacentral:rRNA from 1 species